rnacentral:tRNA from 1 species
GCCCACGUAGCUCAGUCGGUAGAGCACAUCCUUGGUAAGGAUGAGGUCACCAGUUCGAUCCUGGUCGUGGGCU